UACGAAGGGGGCUAGCGUUGCUCGGAAUCACUGGGCGUAAAGGGCGCGUAGGCGGCGCGACAAGUCACUUGUGAAAUCUCUAGGCUCAACCCAGAACGGUCAAGUGAUACUGUCGUGCUAGAGUGCGGAAGGGGCAACUGGAAUUCUUGGUGUAGCGGUGAAAUGCGUAGAUAUCAAGAGGAACACCUGCGGCGAAGGCGGGUUGCUGGGCCGACACUGACGCUGAGGCGCGAAAGCUAGGGGAGCGAACGGG
rnacentral:rRNA from 1 species